AUUGAGCGCUGGCGGCAGGCCUAACACAUGCAAGUCGAACGGUAACAGGAAGAAGCUUGCUUCUUUGCUGACGAGUGGCGGACGGGUGAGUAAUGUCUGGGAAACUGCCUGAUGGAGGGGGAUAACUACUGGAAACGGUAGCUAAUACCGCAUAAUGUCGCAAGACCAAAGAGGGGGACCUUCGGGCCUCUUGCCAUCGGAUGUGCCCAGAUGGGAUUAGCUAGUAGGUGGGGUAACGGCUCACCUAGGCGACGAUCCCUAGCUGGUCUGAGAGGAUGACCAGCCACACUGGAACUGAGACACGGUCCAGACUCCUACGGGAGGCAGCAGUGGGGAAUAUUGCACAAUGGGCGCAAGCCUGAUGCAGCUAUGCCGCGUGUAUGAAGAAGGCCUUCGGGUUGUAAAGUACUUUCAGCGGGGAGGAAGGGAGUAAAGUUAAUACCUUUGCUCAUUGACGUUACCCGCAGAAGAAGCACCGGCUAACUCCGUG
rnacentral:rRNA from 1 species